GGGGGGGAAGCAGCCCGAUUCCAGCCUGCUGACUAAUUCCUUGGAAACUCCUAGAUAAUACAAUGAGAAAUUCUUUCCAAUGGCUUCUAGAAUGUCCCUGGAAGGUCACCCAAAGGUUGGUGCAAGGACACAGUGGCUGAUUUCCAUUCUGUCAGCAGGAUUUGGGCAAAGUGCAUUCGUGGGUGAAACCAUGUUUGUUUCCUUUCGUACAGGGGUGCCCUGCUAUGUUCCCAAUUAGCUAAUUUAUGAGGACCCCCUAUUUUUCAAAAGACAAGCCACGGACCUCCUGGACUUUUGAAAAGUUUGAUAACUUUAUGGGAGUUACCUCUGCAAAGCAAUGUUUUGAACACAAUGUGGGGUGGCCCCUAAUAAGCAACGGAUUUUAGGUAUACAGUUGUACCUCGGGUUAAGUACUUAAUUCGUUCCAGAGGUCUGUUCUUAACCUGAAACUGUUCUUAACCUGAGGUGCCACUUUAGGUAAUGGGGCCUCCUGCUGCUGCCACACGAUUUCUGUUCUCAUCCUGAAGCAAAGUUCUUAACCUGAUGUACUAUUUCUGGGUUAGCGGAGUCUGUAACCUGAAGCGUAUGUAACCUGAGGUACCAUUGUACUAAAAAACAGAGUAGGGCUGAGUGAUACCUGGUUUUCGACAUUGUGAUGUAUCAGCAGCUAAACGUGAUAUUCUGAAAUAUCACGAUGCCUGAAAUUGGAGAUCAGGUGUGGGGAUGAGGGAAGGAGCAGCCGCAGAGAUCGGAUGGGUGCGAGGAGAAGAGGAAGUGGAAUCACCUCCAUUGCAUGGAUUGAGUGGGAGGGGCAGCCAGUGCUGGCAGUCAGGGCCGUAGCUAGGGGGUGGUGAGGUGGGCCCCUGCCAGGGGCACAGGAAGGGGUGUGUGCAAAAUCAGCCUUAAAAUAUGUCCAGAAAUAUGUCUAUAAAUAAAAAUAUUGAUUAUUGCCUCAUAAGAAAAGGAUUUAAAUGGAGGGUGAAUUGAAUGGGGGGGGUUGGAGGAGAGGCGGAAAGAAGAGCUAAUUUGUCAGUGGCUAGGGGGGCGCAAUCUGGACAGUUCUGCCAGGGGCGCAAGAUCACCUAGCUACUGCUUUGGUGGCAGCUGGUGAAGGUGCAGAUCCACAGUGGCUGCUGCUGCUUUCCUGUGGACUUUGAAAAGCUGCUCCACCUCCAUGCCAGGGGAAGGUAGUGCCAUGGUGCCUUAAAGUGAGGGUGAUCAGCUGCCAUGUUCUCCCUCAUCAUGAGGGGAAGGGAGCACCUCGCAAAGGGCUGCCCUGUUUUCCCUCAGUGUGAGGGAAGGCAGCUCAGAUCAGCAGCAUUAUCAGCUGAGAUAAUACUGCGAUAUCAGCGAUACCUUGAAUUGGCUGCCCUGCUCUCUCUCAUACGAGGAACAAUAUAUCGCUGCAUAUUGACUGGUCAAAAUCGUUAUCAUUGUGUGAUUUCAAAAACGAUUUUGGCCAAUAUAUUGAAAAAUUGCAAGGCGCUAAAACAGACCAUAAAAUUUGUGAUAUUGCCGUGCAGAAAUGACAAAAACUAGUUGGGGGGAGGAAAGGGAUGGGGCCGCAGACUCCCUGGGUGCGUUCUGCAGACCCCCAGAGGUCCCCAGACCCCUAAUUGGGAACCACUGGUGUCCACAACCAAACAGCCAGUGACUUUCACACAAGGAUUUGUCCUUGUAGUGCAGGUUUCUGACUUCUGAAAAAAUACAAGAUUUUAAAUUCCCAUGGCAUAAAGUGGGGUGGAUGGGUUGGGGGAGAGAGACUACUGACUAGUUACAGAAGCACCUUAACCUCAUGGAGAGGUGAGAUGUACCAAUGUUAGGAAACUGAGCUCAACCAGGCCCAGACGGCUUCACAGCAGAAUUCUAUAGGAAAUUCAAAGAACCCUUGAUGCCCUACAUGACCCGCCUAUUCAACGACAUCAUAAAAGGGGGCCCCAUCCCCAAAACCUGGACCCACUCCAAAAUAGUCUCCAUCCCAAAACCACUAAAAGACAGCCUCAAAGUAGAAUCAUACCGCCCAAUCUCAUUAAUAAACCAAGACUACAAGAUAUUCACAUCAAUCUUGGCCAACCGCCUAAAAAUCUUCCUACACAAGUUAAUAGCCCCAGACCAGACUGGCUUUGUCCCUGGCCGCAAUAUAACAGACCCCAUCAGGAAACUACUGAACCUGAUCGAACACAGCAAGGCAACCAAACUCCCAUUGACAAUUAUGUCCCUAGACAUCCUCAAAGCCUUUGAUUGCUUGGAGUGGAAAUACAUAUUAGCAGUACUAACUAACAUGAAAUUUGGCCCCAACUUCCUACAAAUCCUCAAACAAAUAUACUCCCAAGCCUCAGCAAAAUGCAGAACUAACAAUAUGGAUUCUAAUACUAUAGCUAUCCAAAGAGGCACGAAACAAGGAUGCCCACUGUCUCCCUUCUUAUUUAUCCUGGCUCUGGAACCCCUAGCAAUCCGCAUCCGAGCAGCCACAGACAUCAAGGGAGUGGAAAUAAAAGGCAGAACCUAUAAAUUAGGGCUCUUUGCAGAUGACCUAAUGGUCACAACACCAGACCCCAUAAGCACAGCAACCUCCCUAAUCAGAGAACUCAACACAUUUGCAAUGGUGUCGGGCCUACAGGUAAAUUUUACAAAGUCAGAAGCUAUGUGCUUCAACACCCCUCCUCACACCCAAAAAGAACUCACGAAGGUCACCAAAAUAAAACUUUGCCACACCAAGUUCAGAUACCUAGGGGUACAAAUAACCAGAAACCUCAGUAAAUUGUACCUCCACAACUACAAGCCCCUGUGGCGACAAUUUAACAAAGACCUAAAGAGAUGGAAUAACAUGAACUUCACUCUCUCAGACAAAAUAGCCAUGAUCAAAAUGAUCACACUCCCAAAACUAACCUACCUAUUCCAAACCCUCCCAAUCUGGAUCCCCUCAACCCAACUUCGCAGUUGGCAGAGAAAACUACACUCUUUCAUCUUCUCACAUAAAAAACCAAGAAUAAGCCCCAAAUACCUGCACCUCCCCACCUCAGAAGGAGGAUGUGGAAUCCCCAACAUAGAAGCAUAUUACAAUGCCAACCAAAUACGCCACAUAAUCCCAUAUAUACUAGAAGAUGAGACAAAACAAUGGGUAUACCUAGAGAGGGACACAAUUGAAAACACCUGCACCACAACAUACCCACUCCUCCCAAACAAACUAAAGAAAAUUCCCACAACACUUAACAGGUACACACAGACCAUGCUCAAAGCAUGGAAAACACAAAUAGGCAAACUAUCCCCAAUCCCAUCCCCACUAAUACCCCUGGCGUACCACCCAUUAUUCCACCAUGCAGCACAAAACCUCAAGAUAAAAACUUGGCGAACCAAAGGCUUAUAUCGCCUAAUAGACUUUUAUAAAAAUAACAAACCCUUGUCAACACAAGAAAUACAAGACAAACUAGAAGACACCCAAAUGCCCUGGUUAACACAACACCAACUACAUGCCCUCUUAAACAACCCAACAGUAAAAUCAGCAGCAACUAGGCCCCUGACAACCUUCGAAAACCUCCUUCUAACAACAAAGGGAAACGGUAAAGGGACGGUAUCCGCAAUAUACAAAAUGCUACUCCAAAAUCCCGCAAAUCCCUUAGACGCAAUCAAAAAACAAUGGGAGAAUGACAUAGGCUAUGAGAUUAACCCCACUCAAUGGACCAGAAUGUGGUCUAAACCCCCCUUUAAAUCCAUAUCAACGAAAAGAAAAGAACUCACACUGAAACUCACCUACAGGUGGUACCUAACACCAAGGAAACUAGCGCUAAUACACCCAGGAACCUCACCAAAAUGCUGGAGAGGGUGCACCUCCACAGGCACAUACCUCCACAUGUGGUGGGAGUGUCCCAAAAUCCAACUAUUCUGGACAACAGCCAUACAAGAAAUAUGUAAAAUAACUAAGCAAGUAAUAGACAUCACCCCAGAAUUGGCCCUACUAAACAUCUUCCAAGACAACAAUGCCCAUUUACACCACAAAGAACUCAUAACCCACCUGCUCUCAGCAGCCAGAAACACCAUAACCAGACACUGGAGAGACCUGUCAGGAGUAAGCAUGGACCAAUGGUACCAAAUAGUAUGGGAAACAGCCCUACUAGAAAAAUUAACUAAUAAACUGAAACUGACACGGGGACAAACAGAAGAAGACGCCUUCACCCCGGUAUGGCUCCCCUUUAUCACAUACACAGCCCAACAGGACAAUGACAAUAAUCCACCAACAGCAUACAAAUAAGAAUAUGGCUAACCUGAUCCAAAACACCCACCCACCUCACUCACACACGAAAACAAAGAUCACCACAGCCAAUCACAAGCAAACAAUCACACCCUAGGCCAACCCCAACCUCUCUCACCACCAAAGGAACACAAGUGAACCACACAAGCAACGCUGACACCAAACUCUACAUACAUUAAACAUAAUAGAAACACCGCCACCCGACCCCACCCCCAUCCAUCUUCCCUCUCUCCACCCCCACUUACAUUUUUCUUUUUUUUUCUCCCCCUAAUGCCUCAACAAAUGAAACGGAUUUGUAAAAAUGUUACAUGAAAAAAAAAUACAAGGCACUACACUUCUGUAAAACAAGAAAAUCCUUAAUAAAAUAUUAAAAAAACAAAAAGGAAACUGAGCUCAAGGAGAAACAAAGUGGGGAUGCAGUAGGAAAAAUUGAGAGAAAUAAAGCAGAAUGGAAUGAGAAGUUAAUGGCAUAAAUAAGAGCAAAGCCACUUUAAAAAGAGAAAGGCCAUAACUCUGUACCAUGUUUUGUUCCAAGAAGUUGGUUGUGAGCAAAAAUGUUGUUUGCUGAUAUUCUAGGGCAGCGAUAACCAAUGUGGGGUCCCACAGAUGUUCCUAGAAUACAGCUCUCGUCAGCCCCAUCCAGCAUGGCCAAUGGGCAGGGUAACAGGAGUUCUAGUUCACAGCAGCUGGAGGGUACCAUGUUGACUACAUCUGUCUAAGGGCCACCGAUCAAAAUGUCUACUAUAUGGGAGUUUGCUCUUGUAACCAACACAUUUAAAGUAACAUGGAAAGCUACUGAUGUCUUCUUCACCACUGAAAACUACUUUGUAUGGCAGGAAAGCAUAAAUAUUAUAUGCAGUUUUUCAGAAGGUGAUGAAAACAGAGAACUGUGAACUGCAAGUUUCUCAGAAACGCGUAUUUCCUCUUACCUUUGUCCUUUAUAUUGUCUGCAGGGAUCCUUCACAUCCACAAUGUAUCCGAAACGAUUCCCAGGAAGUGGCACGUAAUGUUGGUCUGUUUAUACUGCAAAUUAAAUUUAGCUACCUUCUCUUCUGCAUGACAAACAAUUCCUCGGGCUUUCAAGCUUCACAGCCUGAGAGCCAAACCAUGACUAGGAUCUCCCACUCUUAAAAAAAGAUAUUAAUAGUAGCUUCUCUCUGCACUGUUUUCUCAGUGUUCAAAAUACAGCCGUUACUCCAGGUCAUGCUCGUACAUGACUUGAGCGGGUGGAUGUACACAGAAUGGAAGGGUUGCCUUCUUGUUUCUGUUAGGGCUCCUGUGCAUUUUACAGCUGCAUGACAUUCUUCAGGUGAAGCCUUCCCCAUCAUGCUCCCUAGUGAGGAUGGCUGGACAGGUUGACCUUUCUCGUGCUUGCUGGGGCUGAUGGGAGUUGUAGUCCAAUGCCAUCUGGAGGACACCAGGUUGGUGAAGGCCGCUGUAGAGCAACAGAGCCCUUCAGUUGUAUAAACUUAAAUUUCCCUUUCAGAAAAUAGUGAUGAUUGAGAGGUGGCCUCCUUGUUGUUUUUGCUGCAAGAAGCUAGCCCAGAUAUCCCCCUGGAAAUAAAUAAAUAUGCCACUGAGCUACAGCCCUUUCCCAAUCAUAGGGACCACCUUCUUUCACUAUUCUGAAUGUGGCAACACUCUUGGUAGUCACCUGAGGUCCUUCUCUGUAUCUCCUGCACCCUGACAAUUUAGGCAAGUGGGUACACAGGACAGGGACUUUUCAAGCCAUUGCCUCUGGCCUUUUAACUUACGCAGGUCUGGCCUUCCAGCAUUAUGUCAAAACAUUUUUGUUGUUGUUCAGGAAAUUUUUCUUUUUGUCAGCUGCAUUAUUUAUUGCUUAGCAUUCUUUCUUUCCUUCUUCCUGCUGUUGAUUUUAUUUUUAUGAUGAUUUUUAUUGUGUUUCAUUGUCUCAUUGUUUUUACAUCUGGUUUUGUGUAUGUGUAUGUGAUGGUAUGAGCCUGUUUAGAUAAAUAAAUAAUGGGCCAAAACAGCCACUUACAAGCCUGAUUUGUCCGUAGACUUUUCAUAUGCCCCUCUUAAGCAUCUGGAGCCAACCAUAGACUGUGUAUUAUGUUGCUGCUGCUUCAACGGCCCUUCCCUUCACACUUACCUGUGCUAUUUUCAGCUGGGAUUCAACCACAUACCAUCAAAUCCAGGUUGCACAAUUAAAGCCAACUGGGGGUCUUGCACAAGAAACAUGCUUCACCGAAAGAUAGGAUGUCUUGUAAUAAGGAAAGUGAUGGGAAAAUGCACUGGAAAACGCUUUGAAGCAACAUCAUUUUAACGCCUUACAAACAAAUCAGAGUGAAUCCUCUUUAAAUAGCCAACAUCAUCUACCCUUCCUGCAAACAAAUCAAGAUGGAUGCUCAAUAGACAGGACGUCUGGAAGCACCAGCUAGAGGAAUCAGGACUAUAGUUGCCUCGUGAGAAAGAAUGAUGGGCAGAAGGACCAUGGAGGCAGAAAAUACUCUCCAGCCGUCUCCAACUUCUUCAAGAGAAGAGAAAGGCAGAGUCUUUGAAGCAGCCCCUGGCAGAGAACCCACCAACUACUGUACACACAGCAAACUAAGCUGUGCAUUUUAUUGAACAAUAAAACACUCACCAGGUCAUUUACAUUUUUA
rnacentral:lncRNA from 1 species